GCGCCGGUGGUGUAAGGCGAACAUCGCUGCCCGGAAAGCAGAAGAUGCGGGUUCGACUCCCGCCUGGCGCG
rnacentral:tRNA from 1 species